AGCUCAAGUCAGUUAGUGUGUUGGAUGGGAGUGAAAGCCGAAGAAUUAGGAGUAGAGAUAUAUCCAGGCUUUACUGCCAGUGAGAUCCUGUACGAUGCAAACAACAAUGUUAUCGGCAUUGCAACUAAUGAUAUGGGAAUUGCCAAAGAUGGUUACAAAAAGGAUACUUUUCAGCGUGGUGUAGAAUUAAGAGACAGGUCGGAUAACACUUCUAGCUGAAGGAUGUCGAGGAUCGU